rnacentral:rRNA from 1 species
UAGGGAAUCUUGCGCAAUGGGCGAAAGCCUGACGCAGCAACGCCGCGUGGGGGAUGAAGGCUCUCGGGUCGUAAACCCCUUUCAGUAGGAACGAAUCUGACGGUACCUACAGAAGAAGGACCGGCCAACUACGUGCCAGCAGCCGCGGUAAUACGUAGGGUCCAAGCGUUGUCCGGAUUUAUUGGGCGUAAAGAGCCUGUAGGCGGCUUGAUAAGUCGGGUGUGAAAACUCCGGGCUCAACCCGGAGACGCCACCCGAUACUGUCAUGGCUUGAGUCUGGUAGGGGAGUGCGGAAUUCCUGGUGUAGCGGUGAAAUGCAUAGAUAUCAGGAGGAACACCGGUGGCGAAGGCGGCACUCUGGGCCAGUACUGACGCUGAGAGGCGAAAGCGUGGGUAGCAAACAGGAUUAGAUACCCCCGUAGUCC